AGGUGGCUUCUUCUUGGAUAUCUGAAUGGUGGUGAGAUCAACCUCUGGGCCAGCCAAGUAUGGAACUCAAUCCAAAACAACGGACUUCUUUUGUUUCGUGUCAGUUCAGCUUCCUACAAACAAAAUUAAAGCAGCAUUGGUUUAGUAAUUGGAAAUGCAUAUCAAAGAAAAGAAGCUUAACUCAAAACAGAUUUUCCUAACCAUCUUCAAUGUACAUGUGUAGGAGAAAUGCAUUCUUUAUUUGUAGCAGUGCAAAUGUCAGUGAUUACAAACAUGUGUGUGACUGUUUGCCAGCAAUUUGUUCUUGCCCUUGGAUGAUCAGACCCUUACGGAAUCUAGGCAGACUGUGGAACUUCCAUUGGCUUCCACUGGCUUUGGUGUGAAAUAUAGAGAUAUGAGUAGUGGUGACAAGAGGGGACACGGGAAAGGCCCGUGGGAAUAGGCCUUUGAGGGGAAGCACGCUGAUCUCUUGUUCUGCAGCGCAUGCUUGGGAUGGUAUGCGCAUGCCUUCUCUCACUAAGACUAGGACUGCUUACAGAAUGCGAAUAUAAGUAUCCUUAUUUGGGAGAAAAGUACAUUUUCAAGGGCUGGUAAAAUGACGUGGAGGAAGGGAGGAUCCAGGGAGCCUUCUGAAGAGUAUUGUCAGGAUGUCUCUUCUCUUUCAGCCACCUGGAUAUGUUUCACAUUUUGUUUCCCAAACAAGGACUAGAUUGGAUCCCAGAAGGGAAUGGUUUCCUUAGUAUACAUUCCGAAUUCCUUUGUAAGGGAAAAAUCCACUUCAUCUGGUCUAAGAAUACGUAAGAACAAAUGAAAAUGUUGUGGCUGGAGAUGUUCCUGAGUUAAUAUCAGGAUGUUUGCCUGCUGGUUUCUGUUUUACCAAACAAAACAUAGCUGCCAAUUCAUCCAUCUGUAAAAGUGCUCCUUGUGGACCCCCUCAAGAGAAGUACUGGUUAUUUUAUUUGCAGAAAACGUUUUAUUGGGAGUUGUUUACUUUCUGUGACUGAAGUGGGGAACAUGAGGGUCCCUUUACGGAGCCCUCAUAUUCCAUGUGUACUCUGUAUUUUAUUGAGGCUGUUUCCCAGUCAGAACAGCGUCUCUCUUUGUUUGUCAUUCCAAAUCUUUCAGUGUCUUUAGAGCUCUGAGGGCCCUGGAGAGCCUCACCCAACCUCUCAUCCUUCCAUGGCUGUCCCCACCUCUGUGCACUUAUGAGUCAAUGUUGCCGCACUUCAUUACAUGCUGUUCAUAUUACAGCAUUAUAAGAUUUUUUCUUUUAAAAGCCUAUCUUCUUCAAUCGGGUAGUAAGACCAUUGUGGGUUGAGGCAUGUUUCAUACUUCCCACAUAAUCACUCCAGACUUAAAACAGAACCGGAAAUACAUGAAAUAAAAAAUUAUUUUUCUGUUCUCAAAUAAAAA
rnacentral:lncRNA from 1 species